rnacentral:tRNA from 1 species
UAAAGACGAAGUAUUAAUGUACAUUUUAUUUACACUAAAAAAGUUUUCAAGAUGAAACGUCUUUAAC